rnacentral:rRNA from 1 species
AUAAAUGUAAUCUAAAAAAUUAAGUAACUAAUAGUUAUGUUCUUUAAAACUAAAUGAUUUGGCGGCAUUUUAAUCUUUUCAGAGGAACCUGUCCUGUAAGUGAUAAUCCACGAUUAAAUUGACUUUAAUUAGAAAUUUUUAUAUCAUCGUUAUUAAAUAUUUUAUUAGAAAAUUAAUAUUUAAGAUUUAUUAUUUUAUAAUAAUUCAGAUCAAGGUGAAGUUUAUAUUAAAGAAGAGAUGGGUUACAAUAUUAAUAAAUUUGGAUUUAUAAUUGAAAAUUUAGUUGAAAUUGGAUUUGAAAGUAAUUAAUAUGUAUAUAUAUUAUUAAUGAUUUAGCUCUAAAAUGUGU